AGAACAGGUCUCUACAGCUGUUAUUUGACCUGAGAUAUCUCACUGCUACCCUGGGUACCAAACUAGAGGAUGGCAGGGCUUCCGCUCUCAACAAGACCCCAGGGUUCAGCAGGUGUGUGAUUCGCUGGAGAGCUACAUUGAUCCCUUUGACCUGGAUGUGUUCAUGCCGCCAUUCAACAGCAACCUCAACCGCCUAUCACAGAGGAGUUCGGUGUUGUUGGGGUUGUUGACGAGGACAGAGAAGCAGUUUGUUUCCCGUGGUAACAGCGCGGCCUCUCAGGAACCCUACAACAUCCUGCCAGCUGGCCAGCACCCAGAUCAGGUUUGGGCUGUUACCUCUGAGCAUGACCAACUCCCGUAAAACCAAGUCCUCCACACAGGGAACUGACAUCACACGCCCACUGCUGUUUUGAGGGCAACAGACCCAGGACAGCAGCAACAGGUCAUUGUGUGUGUGGGGUAUCUUUAGUGUGUGUGUGUGGUAUCGUUAGUGUGUGUGGGGUAUCUUUAGUGUGUGUGGGGUAUCUUUAGUGUGUGUGGGUGGUAUCUUUAGUGUGUGUGUGGGUGGUAUCUUUAGUGUGUGUGUGGGUGGUAUCUUUAGUGUGUGUGUGGGUGGUAUCUUUAGUGUGUGUGUGGGUGGUAUCUUUAGUGUGUGUGGGUGGUAUCUUUAGUGUAAGUGUGUGUGGUGGUAUCUUUAGUGUGUGUGUGGGUGGUAUCUUUAGUGUGUGUGGGUGGUAUCUUUAGUGUGUGUGGGUGGUAUCUUUAGUGUGUGUGUGGGUGGUAUCUUUAGUGUGUGUGUGGGUGGUAUCUUUAGUGUGUGUGUGGGUGGUAUCUUUAGUGUGUGUGUGAGACAAACAGCGAGUGUUCCAAACCGUAUCUGUGACCAGACAAACAGCGAGUGUUCCAAACCGUAUCUGUGACCAGACAAACAGCGAGUGUUCCAAACCGUAUCUGUGACCAGACAAACAGCGAGUGUUCCAAACCGUA